UGGCUUUGGUGCAAUUGCAAGUGUCAAAGAUAAAGGCUGAAAACCUGGGAAGAGCACAAAAACUUGUGAAAGAGGCUACAGGCCAGGGUGCAAAGUUGUAGUCUUACCUGAGUGUUUUAACUCCCCCUAUGGAACCAGAUUCUUUGCCGAGUAUGCCGAAAGGAUCCCAGGAGAAUCCACACAGAUGUUGUCAGAGGCAGCCAAGGAGUGUGGGAUCUGUUUAGUGGGUGGGCUGAGGCAAUCAUAAUAGCUGGGUCAGAGGAGGGGUUUGUUGUAUAUGCUGACACAGAUUGAGCAUCUGCCCCAUGGUGGUGGCAGAAGAUCAGUUUUCACUGCUCAAGAACUUGAAAUUUGUAAUAUGGUUGUAGCAAACAAUGCUAUUGGACUAAAAAAAAUAUUCAAAGUGUUUUACAAGAUGACAGCAUCUUUCAAAAUGUCAACACCGUCAGCCUCUCCACAACUGACAGAGUGAUGAAAAGAAAUCAGAUUACAAUAAAGCAACUCUACAAGGUACCUUUUGAGAGGAAUGGUGAGAGAGUGAAGGAGCUGAGGUACCAGUAUGUACAGAGUGAUGGAGCUGGAGGCUAAUGAAUCCCCACACAUUUUUGUGUAUGUUGAUGAGGCAGGAUUCAACUUGACCAAAUUCAGGAGACAUGGCCGUAAUAUUAUUGGUCACUGAGCCACAGUUGAUGUGCCAGGCCAGCGCGGAGGGAACAUUACAACGUGUGCUGCCAUAUGUGGGAAUGGUGUACUCUCCCAUCAUUGGGCCCUAUAACACAACGUCUCAAUUUCCUGGAAACUCUUUACAGGGAUCUCAUUCCUGAGAAUGAGAGGGGGUUGGUAAGAAAUGACUUGCCAACGGAUGUUAUAGUUUGGGACAACGUAAGUUUCCAUCGUCCAAAUACAGUCUGGGAAUGGUUUGUUGCCCACCCACGUUUUUUGGAGUUUCUCCCACUAUACUCGCCAUUCCUAAAUCCCAUUGAGGAGUUCUUUUCUGCAUGGAGAUGGAAAGUCUAUGAUCACAGUCCUAACGACCAGUUGUCCUUACUGGGUGUAAUGGAUGCUGGUUGUGAGGAUAUCACAGCAGAUUUUUGUAGGGGGUGGCUGCGUCAUGCCAAAAGUUUUUUUUUUUUUUUUUUUUUUUUCCCUUGUUUCAUUGCAAGGGAGGAUAUCGGGUGUGACGUAGAUGAAAUGUUGUGGCCAGACAGAGAGGAGAGAUUGGAAGACCCAUGAGGUUGAUGAACUUGCAGCAUAUCAUCUUUUUUCUUGCACAUUGUAGUUCUUGAAUUACUGUUUUGUGUGUAUAUUUCUGUACAAGCUUUCUUUACCCAUUUUCGGUUGGCUGUAAGUGUACAUUACA